rfam:Salmo salar isolate Sally breed double haploid chromosome ssa17, whole genome shotgun sequence.
UGGCUCAGUCAGUAGAGUAUGGCGCUUUCAAUGCCAGGGAUGUGGGUUUGAUUCCCAC